rnacentral:rRNA from 1 species
AGAAUCAACGCUGGCGGCGUGCCUAACACAUGCAAGUCGAACGAGAAAGUGGAGCAAUCCAUGAGUAAAGUGGCGCACGGGUGAGUAACACGUGACUAACCUACCCUUGAGUGGGGGAUAACCGUAGAGGAAUCUGGGCUAAUACCGCAUAAUACCUUCGGGUCAAAGGAGCAAUUCGCUUAAGGAGGGGGUCGCGGCCGAUUAGUUAGUUGGCGGGGUAAUGGCCCACCAAGACUAUGAUC